rnacentral:lncRNA from 1 species
AAGGACCAACAAUGCAUCUUUCUAUUGUACUAAUGGUAGUACUAAUUGUACAUCAAUAGAAUAAAUAAACCCACUUUCUCUAGAACUUUCUUCCUAUGUCUCACUAAAUUCUAACCCUAAUUUGUCGCCUCCUUCGUCAACUCCGACUAUUCUCUCAACUCAAAUUGUAGCCCUAAUUCCUCGCCUCCUUCGUCAACUGCGACUAUUCUCUCAACUCUUCCUUCUAUACUUCUCAUCUGUUGAAUGCCCAAUCCGUCUGCUCCGUACUUGUUCUUCUUUGUCUGCACAAUUUAAAUCUGUCUCUCAAGCUUUCCUGAAGACCGCUCUUUGUUUCCGACGACCUGCGCAGCUGCUUGUUCAUGCUUUAAGUUUCUGUCCUUCUUGGUAAAGUCGUUGUAUUCUCUCAACUCUUCCUUGUACUUCUCAACUCUUCAAUGGCCAAUCUAUCUGCUGCUUACUGUUUUCUGUUUGGUUAGAGAGUUCAAAUCUGUCGGUGAAGCUUUCGUCAACAUUUGUCUUUGUUUCCGAAAACCUGCGCAACUAUUUCUUCGUCGUUUAAGUUAAAUUUACAGGUUUGCUCCAUCAGUUGCUCUUACUCCUAUUCCUAAUUUCUGUUGUCUUUUCCUCUUUAUCCGAUUGCUAAUUGGUCUUUUGUGGAGUGUAUUAAGCUAUAUUAUACUCUAUCUAUGUAUGUGCUGCAAACUUCUACUGAAUAAUUGCAUGCGUUGGUCUCUUGCACUGUUGUCACCAUCGACCCACCACAGUCCCUACUUGGUCAUAACAAUUGUACAUUAAAUUUGUCAAUAUGUAGUUAACACUGCUCAUAAGUGUUAAAGUAUCUGUUAAUUAAGGUACAUUUGUCUUCAUAAAUUGGACCUGCAUAUUUAGACAUAAAGUCGAGACAGAGACACGUGUCAAAAUAAAAACUUUCACAAGUAUUUCAGACAAGUAGAUACAUUGUUUGCUGUAAAAAUUUAUUAUACACGAUGAAAUUAUUACAUCUUUUGUACUCACUGUGUGUCAAUAUUCGCUGUGCAUAACAGGAUGCUACUGUAUUACCUGCUCUACAGUGUUCUUCUGAUGUUACCUGCUUCAAUUGAUUUCAUCAAUAGGUUAGACUAUUUCGCCGGAAUAUUACUGCUGGUUUAAUCACAUUAUACCAACAAUGUCACCUCAAAUUCCCUGGUUAAACAUACUGUCAUUUGUCACAUAUGUUGUAUUGACGCAUGCUCGGUAUUCAGAGCUUCUAUAUGUCUUUGCUUUCUUCUGCCUAAAUACUUCUCCAAACAAAUUCCAUACCAAAACCAAACAAAAUAUUCCAUGUAAUAUAAUUACAGAUUCUUUCCAUUUGACCCAUAUGUAUUUGUAACUUAUUUCAUGUUGAAUUUGCGGAAAUUAUAUAUGCGUAAAUACUGACUUUAUUUCACAGGUAAUUGCCUGCAACUCAGCGCUACAAAUACCACUGAUACAGCAGAGUCUGCUGGCUUCACACCAACCUUCUCAGUAUCACCACCUUAAACGCUAGCCACUCCACCAGAUUCAGACACAUCGCAUACGUGAUCGCAGGUAGCUUCUAUGUUUUCUCCCAUCAUCUAUAUGCUGUUAUACAGCCAGGAGGUUCUAAUCCUUAGUUACAGUAAGUUUUGCUUCCCCUUCUUCCCCAAUUUUUCGGUAAUGUGUCGAACUCUUCAAAAUAACCUAUAUUGGUAGUUUUUUCCAUUAUUCUUUCGAUUCUUACGUUUUCUGUGGAUUCUUAGGUUCAGUAUCAUAAACUGUAUGUUAUUUUCCUAUAUGCAUGUUUGAAAAUGUAAAUAAAUAUGUAUAUAACUUUGAUUCAGGUAUAGUCUCUUCAAAUUCAAAGGCAUCAGAUUUUGAAUUUUGUGUUAUUUGAUGAGCAACACUCCAAAAUAUCGUUGAACAACACUCCAAAAUAUCGUUUGGUUGUCCGAUUUCUAUCGUAAUACUUUUGUUUCUGUAAAAUAUUAUGUACAUGGUAUGGUUUCCUCUUGGGAUUUUGUUUAUUGAUUUCACAGGUAUCGUUCCUUUUAAUAGAACAUAGACGGUUCAGCAAAUUGUCAUUGUGAACUUCUGUCACAUGAUUGAUAGUGGCAAUUCGGAUCACCAUGAAUCUAUGUUGUGGGUCUACUCGAUCUGUAAUAUUGAAAUUAUGGGCAUCAGACUGUUCUGUUAUUUCUCCUAAGUUUCUUGGAUUUAUUUCAUCUUUUGUGUUUGUGUUAAAUUGAGUAAUAUUGCACAUGUAGAGUUAUUUCUCUCUAUUUCUUGCUCUCAUCCUUUGUAGGUCAUGUGAAUAUAGUUCAUUGUGGUAUGAACUGAACUUUAGUCUAUGAAGUAAGUUGUUUUUUUUUUUUUUGGUAUGAACUGAACUUUAGUCUCUGAAAUAAGUAUAUCCAUCUUCUUUUGUUUCAAUACUAUGUUUUAGUCCAAAAACAGAGAAAGACCAAAUACAGGUGUUUUAGUCCAAAAACAGACAAACACCAAAUACAGUUAAGGUAGCAAUCUUUUUGAACUUCAAUUUGAACAGCUUAUUGCUUUGUUUGUGUCAUUAAAUCUACACCGUAUGUCUCAUUAUUGCUUUGUUUCAGCUUGACUUUAUGUUAAAAAGAAAAAUUAGAUACGUAAAUUAAAAACACUGCAGGUUGAAAAGUCAUGUUCAGUUUAUGCCUUUAGUGUUUCACAUCUAUUCUCUCCAUUAACAUUGGAAUGUAAUUUUUAUUUAUGCCUUUCGAUGGAGAUGACCCAUUUCAGGGUAAUUAGUCUGCUUUAGUUGUGUAUCCUCCGUCUCUUUCAGAUCACCUAGGAUUGUUAUAACUAUAAAAUUCUAUUAAUGCACAUAUAUAUAAACAGUUGUACAACUAAGUGCUAAUGUAUUAGGAAAUAUUUUCACAGUAGUAGUUGUUUCCAUAUUAUACAAUACACUUUUCCUUAUGUACUUUUCUGUAACAUCUAUUGUGAGAUCUUAACAUCUCUGCCUUCCACCUUCUGCAGUUUAAUCAAGAUGUGAUCAGACCAAUCACUACUUACCAUCGCACGUCCUCUGUUGAAAAUUGAAAUUUUAAAAUCAAAGGACAAACAAGUUCCCAGUUUGUUCAUCCAAAAGUACCUGAUGAAGAAGUUGAAUCUUUCUUACAAAAAUGAGGUAAUUAACUUCUUGUAUUUUUGGCAAUUUAGUAAUCAAUAAAUAUGAUUAACAUUUAUUUACAAUCCUACCUAUUGUGAUUUAAGUGCUGAAAAAUUAUGUAGGAGCAUGAAUUCCUGUAGUUUAUUAUUCUGUUAGAUGUAGUGUGGUCCUUGUACUUUUAGGACUUAGUUUUCCAUGCCAAAAUAUUAUCAGUGCAACGCCAAAAAUAGUUCGCGUCUCGAAUUGAAUCAACGCCAAAAAUAGUUCAGAUCUCCAGUUGGAAUGAAUUACUGAUGUAAAAA